CCUACGGGAGGCAGCAGUGGGGAAUAUUGCGCAAUGGGCGAAAGCCUGACGCAGCGACGCCGCGUGAGGGAAGAAGGUCUUCGGAUCGUAAACCUCUGUCAGCAGGGAAGAACGGUCACUGUGCUAAUCAGCAGUGAAUUGAAGGUACCUGCACAGGAAGCACCGGCUAACUCCGUGCCAGCAGCCGCGGUAAUAAGGAGGUUGCGACCGUUAAUCGGAAUUACUGGGCGUAAAGCGCUCGUAGGCGGUAUGUCAAGUCAAGGGGGAAAUCCCCGCGCUCAACGUGGGAACUGCCUUUGAAACUGGCAAACUGGAGUGUGUGAGAGGAUAGUGGAAUUCCAGGUGUAGGAGUGAAAUCCGUAGAUAUCUGGAGGAACAUCAGUGGCGAAGGCGACUAUCUGGCACAUAACUGACGCUGAGGAGCGAAAGCGUGGGUAGCAAACAGGAUUAGAUACCCUGGUAGUC
rnacentral:rRNA from 1 species